AUGGCCAGGCUGGCCAUGCCUGGCCCGUUCGGUGCUGUCCCUGCAGUAAUUGCAAGUGCAAGCACCUCAGCAGCAUCCCUACUAUGAUUUAUGGGCUGAAAUCGCUCUCCCCUGGCCUCUUCCCACCCUCCCCACCUGCCAUUUCCCCGCGGCCGAGCAGGAACAUAUGCUCCUCUCACAAGCAGCCUUUGUCCCUCCCUGCGCUGCUUAUUAAAACCACGUGUCGGAGGGGGCUCCGGCCCUGCAGUGGGGCCUGCCCAUUUACUCUCCGACAGCCUGGAGAGAAGCAGGAGUCAUUUCCUCCGCUUGGGUCUUCUUCCCCCCUCUCCAGCCUUUCCCUUUCGGGGCCUCGUCCCUCUGCUGUAGCCUCCCCUGCUCUUAUUUUCGGUGCACGUCUCGCCUUGCAGCCCCCCAUUUUCAUUGGAGAGGCCCUGGCUUCCCAGGGAGGAGGAGGAUGGCUGGGCAGGGUAGGGCAAGGGGAUGCAAGAGGUCUGCCCUCCCUGCUCGGGAGCGGAGCGGGGCCGGCGUGGCAGGCAUUCGACGUACAAGCCCAGAAGCCGGUUGCCUGUAUCUGGUUGGAGGCUCCUUACGCUGCCUGCCCGGGGCUGCCGUCUUCUUGCAUGCAGACGGCGCUAAGCACCUAUGGGGGCUAUGCAUAGGCCGUGGGAACCUGGAAUACAAGGAUGCUGCUGCUUUUCCUUGCAGGAGCAAGGCAAUGUCCCACCCGGCGCAUUGUCCUGGGGGUUGUGAAAGACCACGGCAGGGAGCUGUGUGUCUGCACGGGGUGGAAAAACUUCUCCGAGCGCCUGGGUCAGCCUGAGCCCGCAGCCGGGCAUGGGAACGGGUGAGAGAGGACUGCAGGGACCAGGAGGAGCAGAGCAAGGAGGACACGCCGCCCAGCCUGGAUGCACGUCGCUUGGCAGGUCCUCGAAGCCUUGUUCAAUGACCCCCCUGGAGCCCUGGCCCUGUUGCCUUUCAUCCCGGGCUGAGGCCAGGCAGCGAGGAGGCAGGGCCGGGACCCGCAUUCCCGCUCCAUCUGUAACAACACGGCGCGUCUAGACUCCCGUGUGCAGAACAUUGCCUGGCCUUGUUCAGCCAAGCUGGCCGGGGCUCGUACCGGUCCCCCCGCGGGGCGGUGCCGGGACAGGAAGGGGCACCUGGGAGCUGGCCCGGGGGCUCCACGCCGACCGCACAGUCUGUUCCUUGGCUGCUUUGAAGGCAGCUCCCCGUGCACAGAGAAACCCUUAUAGACGCACUGGUUUCCAUUUUGCAAUAACAAGCGGAGAAGGCCUUACAGUUUUUCCCUCCCCGCCCCUUCCCCAGCCAAACGCUGGCCUGAUCAAGGGAGAUGUGAAAUGGGUCCCCGCGGGGAGAGCGCAUUCUCCAGCUUACGAGCAGAUGUAGCGGCGAGACGGGCGCUAUGUGUGCACGUGCUCUGCGCGUUGCAGCCAGCUAUCACCAGCUUGCAGACUCGCCCCAGCCCUUUCCCCUUGCCCGCCAGUCUCCUGUCCCUCGUUGCUGAAGUCAGGCCCUGCACGCUCGCAUGCUGGACUGCCACCUCCCACGCUUGGCACCGGUCUGGGAGCCCCAUGAAUGCCCGUGGGAGGAAGGGGGAAGGCAGAGACCUGGCUCAUCAGCUGCUUCCUUGCAUUUGGCCCCUUCUGGGAUGAAACAGCCACGAGGUUCCUUUGCCUAUCGGUGCAGCCGGAGGCCUUAGCAAGGGCAAAGCAAGACAAUAUAGCUGGUAAGGUUACUCUGGUUUUAAUAAUGCAGCGAAACACCUGGGGCAACCUGGGGAUCACAAUAGCAUGGGCAAUUUCAGGAUGACAGGCACUGGCAGAGCUGCUAAGUCCUUCAUCCAGCCCCCGGGAAGGAGCAUGAAUAGAUGCACUGUAGCGUUGAAAGGGGGAAGGAGUCCGGCUGCGCUGGCCUCGUCUCCCCCGGGAGCAGGCUGCAUCUAUCCAGCACGGCGGCCGCAUUGCUCUAUGAGCCUGGCGAUGACGUCCUGGGUAUGGGGCUACCUUCUUGUCAACGCUGGGCCAGCUACUCAGAGCCCUUCUCCUAUAAGUGAGGUCGCUUUUGCACACUCGCUCACAGCCAUGACACACCUGUAUUGGCCAGAGCUUGUGAUGUGCACCUGGCCCACGCAUGGCUCUGUGACCAAUGCUGCACACAGGUACCGUGUUUUCCUGUGUACAACAUGCACCAGUGUAUAAGAUACCUCCCCCCGCACACAGACUACUGAAAAGAAUAAGAUUGUGGUUUUCGGAGUGCCCCAGCCCUUCCCAUUUCCUGGCAGACCCUGGGGGGAUUUCCCCUGGGCAUGGUGCGGGGUGUGCAUGGGGAAAGAGGGUAAUGAGCCAGUGGGUUGACUGUGCGAGGGACAAGGCCGGAGAUGGGGCUGGUGGCUCAUCCAGGCAUGCACCCAAUGGAUGCAUUUCACUUGGUUUUCUCUUUUUGCCGGGGUCUACUUCUAGCAUGCAGAGAUCUGCAUCUGUCCUGGCUGCCUGUGCCUAUUCCCCAUCUCCUCAAUGUGGAAACCUAAGAGUCGGAGGAAGUGGGACCUAGCGUGAAGCCAGGGCUCAGGACACCUGGGUUUUCUUUCCCGGGCUGCCACUGGCCUGCAAAGUGGCCGUGAUAUCUGCUGGAGAUAAAAGCCAGAUCAGCGCUGGGGAGUUGGGGUGGGUCGCACAGCACAAGUGGCUUUGGGAGAGCAGCCACCAGGCUGGGUUAUUUUAGUUCGAGGUACAUUUGGGAAGAGGGGGUGAAGAUUUCCUGUUCUUGCUAACAUGGGUUCACCCCAGCAACCCCAUGCCCCUCAGGCAUUUUGCACACCCAGCUGAUGAGACAAGGGCAUCAUCAAAGAAAAGGGGGCACACGCACCUUCUAAAUUGUAGUCCCGUGUCUUGAGAGCUCAGACUGGGAGGGCUUCGAUUGCCUUCCUAGUGGAGUCCUCCCCGGGGGGAUCGAGGGACCACAGCAGCCCUGAGCCAUCUGCAUCCCCAGGGAUUUCCCAUCCCUCCAAGCCUACGCCGGUCCCCCACCGCACCUGCUCGGGCCCCCCGCAGUCGGAGGCAGCCGAGCUCGUCCCACGCGUCGCGGCUGCACCUCUUCCCCUCCGUCCCCCGGCAUCCGUGCAAACCGCAGUCUCGCAGCAUCCGCAAGCCAAACCCAACCAGCCCACCUUUACGAGACCACCCGUGCGGCCCCGGGCUCCAGCCGGCCUCGCGGCACAGGACAGCCGGGCUCGCCAACAGCAGCAACAUGUGUUUUAUAUUCUCCCUGGAUGUGUGCAGACUUUCCCGUGUCUCUAUUUAUAGAGGGUGACACGUCUGGGGGCAGUCACCACCGCACAGGCUGGCACUGUUCACUGUAACGCUGUCAUUUGGAGGCCCAGGUGUUGUGAGCCAUGAACGAGGCAGGGAAGCUUGCAGUUGUGCCGAGUGGUUUUGGAGCAACCGGGUGACCGGGGUCUGAUUAGCUCGCUGGGGAUACAAGCGGAGAAGGAGUGCGAUUGUCUCUGUCUGGGCUCAGCGGAUGUCUAGCCAUGUGCGACGGCACGUCGGGGGAGUGGUGAUAGCCAGGAGGGCGACCCACUCUUCUCCGUGUCCGCAGGGGCAGCACCAGGAAGUCGUGGGAUGAAACUGCGCCUGGAGAGAUCAAAGUUGGGUCUUAGGAAGAUCCCUCUAAUGAUAAGCCCUGGACCGGACUCCCCAGAGCGGUGGUGGGAUUUCUUUCAUGGGAAGCUUUUAAAUACAGGGUAGACACAUGCGUCUGGGCGGGUUUCGACAGGGAGGAUCCUGUCUUGAGCAGGGGGCAGAUACCUGCCCUGUUUCCUAUGAGUCCAUGAGGGACUGUCCAGGUCACCCUAUCCGGCAGGGAAAACUCCCCUUGACAUCAGGGCAGCACAGAGAGACCCACACCGAACGCUUUUGAACGUGCCACACACACUGCUGCACUCUGAUCGCCGCUUGUAAUUAUUAUUUAUCUGCCUGGAGAACUGGAGGGUGAGCUAAGAGUGCCUAAGGCAACAUCCUACUGGCUCCGAAAGGAUCGGAGGAGCUAUUUUUUGGCUGCUAGACAUCGACAAUGAUUUACUUUCUCCUUUACCAUCCUGGGGGGGGAGACUUUGGCUGGUCAGAUGUCAUUGAGCCCAUGAAACAGCUUCAUGUGAAACAGUUAGUGGCACCUCUGAGAGAUGGGGUCACGGGGAGGGGGGUCCGGACUAUGCCGUGUGUUUGAGGUGUGCCCCGUGGCAAAGCUGGGCCCGGCCCGAGGAGGCAGCUCCGUGAUACUGGCCUGCGUCCCGCUCUCCAUGUGCCGUGCACACUCGCAGCAGCAGGGCUCAGGCGCGUGAUGGAUGGUGUUGCUCUGGGAGCCAAGGGUUUCUGCCACUAGCCAUAACAGGGAGGCCUGGCUUCUUUCCAGCAUCCAGAUGUUUUGCAACAGCAGCCUUCCGCUUCUCCGGGGGCCGGCGUGGGGGGGAGCGGGCCAUGCCAGCCAGUCCACGGCUGCCCGGGCAUCCGGAGAGCCCUAUCUGCUUUGCCUCUGAGCUGGGGAGCCUGGACAAGAUGAGGGGUGAGAUCCUGGAGAAGAGCCCCCUUCGUCUCCUGGCAGGAGGAUACUUUGCUUCCUCGGGUGGGUUGCGGCGAGCAGCCACUGCUUGUCCCACGCUGUGUCCCGGAGAUGAUGGAUCGAGAGGCUUUCAUGCUUCUUCUGGCUGCCUUCCCUUAGCUUGUCAGCACAGGAGCACAGCCCUGGUCCUGAAUUCACAGCUUUCAUCCUGGUACAGCAGCGUGAAGCUCCCAGGUGCCGCAAUCAAGGAUUCCUGGGUGACCCUCAACAGAUGAGGUCUGCCCCCUUUGCAUUGAAGUGCUGGCUUUUGAGGCAUUUUACCUCUCAGAGGUCCCCAAAGGAGCUUCCUAUGAGCGUUGCUGGGGGGGGCUGAAGGCCUUUUCUGCCCCUUUCCGUCUCCACCGGUCAGGCAGGGCAGCAUCCCCUUUGCUCCGUGCUCCACCCCUUGCUCUUCUAACUGCAGUUUCUUCAGUCCAAACGCGUUGUUGCACUGCCGCCACUGCCCCGCGCCGGGGCGCCGGGUGUGUUGGAAUGGCCGCAACAAAAAAAGAGUCAAAUUAGGCGCCUGAUUGCACACAAAUUAGGCUCCUGAUUGCACACCAGGUGCUGAACUCCCCAUGCGAGAGGGAUGUUGCCUUAACAUCUGCGCACAGGUGCACUGAGGCUGGCCCCAGCUCCGAAAUCUGGGCUCCCUUCUGUGUGUCCCACGGGACAGACCCGCUCACACGGCCACGGGCAGCUUGUGCAGAGCUGGCAGAGAUCUAGAUGGGGCUGGUCCCGCUUGGAGCAGGGGGGUGGACUAGACGUGAUCUCCGGAGGUCCCUUCCCACCCUCGUUUUCCACGAGUCCGUGACUCAAUGCCAUAUACAGACGGACAUAACUCACGUCCGCUCUCACUUAAGAUGCACACGCAGCUCCCGCCCCUGCAGUCACUGGGAUGCGCACCGAGGCAUGCUCUCUCCCACACACAUGCGCAUACACACACAUGCACACACUCAGUCGGGGCACACACACGCACUCAUGCACACAGGGGUUUCUGGCCUCGCUCGGAGCAGACAGGCCUACCCAAAUCAGACUCCUCGCUGGGAGCCAGGAUAAAUAUUUUCCGGGGACUUGGCUGGUGGAACAAAGGGGGAAGGAAGCCGCCUGCGUCAGAGACGACGGCGAGAUGGAUUUUUCGGAAGAGCAAGGAGCGUCGAGGGUCCGGGGGAUGAAUGGGGAAUGGACUCGCUUGUCUGACGACUCCUCUGAAAGGACAGAGACCCUCGGAGGUGGGUAAAAGACUCCCUUGUGAAGAACCUCUCGCUGUCUUUCCACAAGCAGGAAGCCCGGCUGGCUGUCGGGCCAACCCACGCCAUGCAGCAUGGCCCGGUGGCGCGAUCUCCAGGUUCCUUCAUUACCUUUCAUGGCGGUGCAGCCAGGACUCCUAGCAAAGUUUGCAGCAGAGUCUGAAACGCCUCCUGCAGUCGGUCUGGGGUGGAUCUCUGCCAUGCCUGCGGUGGGAAGGACAUUGGGUAUGUUUGGAAACUUCACCCUAGUGCAGGGGAGAAGACUGAGCUAUCCAAAUAUGCAUUGUAUCUGUCCAGCUUUGAAGCAUCCUUGCAAAUAAAAGGCCUUUCUGCUGUGAGAA